rnacentral:rRNA from 1 species
GACGAACCGUGCGAACGUUGUUCGGAAUCACUGGGCUUAAAGGGCGCGUAGGCGGCAUUUCAAGUCCGGGGUGAAAUCCCCCAGCUCAACUGGGGAAGUGCCUUGGAAACUGGAGUGCUCGAGGGAGGUAGGGGUCGAGGGAACUUCUGGUGGAGCGGUGAAAUGCGUUGAUAUCAGAAGGAACGCCGGUGGCGAAAGCGCUCGACUGGACCUUUUCUGACGCUGAGGCGCGAAAGCUAGGGGAGCAAACGGG